rfam:Schistosoma mansoni strain Puerto Rico chromosome 1, complete genome
AUUCAGCUAACGAGCUCCAUACAGGAUGAAACGCGCGUCCUGAAU